UACAGAGGUCCCGAGCGUUGUUCGGGUUCAUUGGGCGUAAAGGGUGCGUAGGCGGCUUUCUAAGUCUGAUGUGAAAUCCUGGGGCUCAACCCUGGAACUGCAUUGGAUACUGGGAGGCUAGAGAACUGGAGAGGAGACUGGAAUUUACGGUGUAGCAGUGAAAUGCGUAGAGAUCGUAAGGAAGACCAGUGGCGAAGGCGAGUCUCUGGACAGUUACUGACGCUGAGGCACGAAGGCCAGGGGAGCAAACGGG
rnacentral:rRNA from 1 species